rnacentral:lncRNA from 1 species
GGAGGCGCACUACAACAGAAUUAGGUUAUAGGGACACAUGUUUGGAACACUUUUGUUUAAGUGUCACAUUUAUGUCAAAACUUUUAAAAAAACCUACUAAUGCUUAAAUAUAAAGUCCAAUCCAACAAAAAAUAAAAGGAUACUCUACUCAACCCACCCCACCCAACCCAUUCGGCCCUAUUAUAAACAGAAAAGAAAAAUAAAAUAAAAUAAAAUAAAAAUUCAUUACCAUUUUCCCUUCUCCCCUCACUCAAUCGACUGAAAUCCUAGAUGAAGAUCCCUUCCUCUCGUCCUCCUCCGCCACCGCAGCCAACGAGAUAGAGUUCCCGCGGUUGCUAGAUGCUUAAAUAAAUAUUGGUAAAUUAGCAUCACUUUUUUAGAUUAUAUCGACACUCUUUAACUGUCACUAUAUACCUAACGACCCCACAUAUAGUAACACUUUUUAAAAGUGUCGGUAAUUUAGCCAGUAAUACUUUUUUUGACUUAUACCGAUAUUUAAAAGUGUCGCUAUAGACCGUUUUUGUUAUAGUGGCGGUAAGAAAAGAAGAGAGGGAGAGAGAGUGAGAGAGAGUAGCAUAGGAGAAGGAAGAAUAGGAAGAAGGAUAGG